AGCCAAGGAAGGGCAGUCGGUCUACAGCCCGCCUCCCGCCGCGGAGCUGCAGGCUGAAGCCCAGGCUUGUGCAGCCAGGGGUGCAGGAGGGAGGGUAGGGGCAAGCCCAGAAAGUCGGGAACACAACGCUGUGCCGCAUUGUGCCCACCCCUCGUCUCCCGACACGAAGGCUGCUCAAGCCCAGGGUGUUUUUUUCCUUUUCACUGCCACCUCCCAGUCCCUGGCCCAACAUGAUACUGACUAAAGCCCAAUACGACGAGAUAGCCCAGUGCCUAGUGUCUGUGCCGCCUACCAGGCAGAGCCUGAGGAAGCUGAAGCAGAGGUUCCCCAGUCAAUCGCAGGCCACUCUGCUGAGCAUCUUCUCCCAGGAGUACCAGAAACAUAUUAAGAGAACACAUGCCAAACAUCAUACUUCGGAAGCGAUUGAAAGUUAUUACCAGAGGUAUCUGAAUGGAGUGGGGAAAAAUGGAGCUGCCCCAGUACUCCUGGAGCUAGCCAAUGAGGUGGACUACGCACCCUCAUUAAUGGCUCGGAUUAUACUGGAAAGGUUUCUACAGGAGCACGAGGAAGCUCCACCCUCCAAGUCUGUUAUAAAUAGUAUGCUACGGGACCCUUCUCAGAUUCCAGAUGGAGUUCUAGCAAAUCAGGUCUAUCAGUGCAUCGUGAACGACUGCUGUUAUGGACCACUGGUGGACUGCAUCAAACAUGCCAUUGGUCAUGAGCACGAAGUUCUGCUCAGGGACUUGCUUCUGGAGAAAAACCUGUCCUUCCUAGAUGAAGAUCAGCUCCGUGCAAAGGGUUAUGACAAAACACCAGACUUUAUUUUACAAGUACCCGUUGCUGUAGAAGGGCACAUAAUUCACUGGAUUGAAAGCAAAGCCUCAUUUGGUGAUGAAUGUAGCCACCACGCCUACCUGCAUGACCAGUUCUGGAGCUACUGGAACAGUUGGAAGAGUGUGGUGAGGGGCCUAGCGUUCCCAGACUGGAAGCUGAAAUCCUCCUUGUUCCUCUUUUAUACUUGCCCAGUGUCUGCUCUCACAAACGAGAGACCCUAUUUGUUCGAAGCAUGCAGAGGCAUGAGCUCAGAACAAAGCGGAUCCAGUAUUUCAGGUGACUUCAUAGACCCCACCCCAUUUCCACCCAAAAAACAAACAAAAAACGGUGAGAAUUCUUUUUUUUUCUUUUGCUUCAGGCGAGGUGUAUGUCAACUCUUCUGAACACUCCUAAAAUCAUAUAUAAAAGGGAGGCUCAGGGGUGCAGAGUAGAAAGCUGGAUCUCCAGAGGGAAUCAUUUUCUUUUAAGCAUCAGUGUGUGUACCUGCUCAUUAUUGGCAAGGCUUAAUUCCACCCUGGAAGAAGAUGAUAAAUUGUCCGUCUUUGGGGGGGUGCAUUCACUCAUUGAAGCCUCCAGGGGAUAGCUUAGAGCCCUGGAUGAGGUCAUCCACUAAAUGGGCCCUGGGGGGGCCUCACUAAUUAAUGCACAGCCCCCAAGUGAACAGUUAAUUCACUCACCCCUCCCUGAGGAGCUACACCCAGUGUUUCCUUUCCUCUCUGGAACCAAGAUAGCUGAGAUGUCUGCUCUUUUUAACCUGUUCCGCCCUAGGACCUGGAGUUUCAGUUGAAUUAGAUCUUCCAUGUGCUGUACUCCCCUCACUUCCUGCCUCUUCCCGGCUGUCCUCGCCUUCUCCUGCCUUUGCAGUUUCCUUCCACGUGGACACACGUUCUGCACUCUCUCACUACCCCUUGUCUCUUUUUCUCUCUAGAAAAUGAUCCCAGGACCAAAAUGCAGCUCAUCGGAGUCCUGAUCCAUAUAUUUUUUGGAGUCCAAGUUGGGGGAGAACAAUUGACCUAAGCUCUCUGGGGAAAAACACACCUAAGCAUCUUUGGCAUCUGAAGGUGAUAAAACUUGUAACUAAGAUAUUACAGGGUCAAAUAUGGUCUGAGGUUUAGUGUGUCAGUAACUGUUUUGGCAAAAGGAGCCAAGAGAACAUGUGAGGUUUACAGAUACUUUCAGGCUGAAUGGUGGUGUUCAGCUGAUUAAAAUUACGAAUUUAAAUAGUAAAAUGUCUCUGUGAUUUAGUUAGAGAAUCACUCCUAGCUCGUUCAUGUUGGGGGCAGCUUGCCAUUUUCCAUGUGAUCUGCAAGUUGCCUCAAAAGUAUAACUAUUUUGUGAAUAGGACAGGAGGAGAAAAUCUCCCAAUUGGCACAUUCUCAAUUAGGGUCAAGGAACAAAGCCAGCUUAACUAGAGAGGAAAUAAAAGGCAAACAAUAGGAGUUUGCCUGCACUGUCACCACUUAUAGAGAGGUGCCUCUCUGGACCUGCCUGGGAAGUCACUCUCAGGUUAAGGAAGGGUCGCAGUGACAAAAGUUCGGACCAUCUAAUUGUAUUACCCCAAACUAACCUUCCUAUAUAUAGUAAAAACAGUCUGAAGAUGUUUUAUUAAGAACAUGCCUGGAUUCGAAAGAUUAAGGAAAAUGGAAUUAUGAAUUAAAUAAUAACCAGAACAGCUUGGGUUCCCCUUGUGUUUUUCACUUUCCUGCUAUUGUUUUGAAUGUGGCUGUGAGACAAAGAGCUGCUUAGGUCAAGGACUAUAAAUUACAGUUUUCAUACAAUAGUCAUCCACUAAAAUGAUUUCAAAGCUUGAUCAAAGUACUUCAAAAAGACUUUUAAAACUUUUCCACAAUGCAGGGGGAGGGGAAACGCUCAUUUGAUGCCUUAAUUUGCUUCAGUCAGUCUAGCAGAGUUGCAUCUUGGCGUCAUACCUACUUUAUAUAAAAUCCCACUCAUUAGUUAAAGAAACCCAACUCGUUCUUAUUGUUGUCUCAUGUACAAGUAAAAAGGAUUUAAGUUUCCAUCUGGUUAACUAGCACAACUAAACCUUCGGAGACACUUGUAAGGAAAAGAUGCACAUAAUCCUGCUUUAAAAUAAGCAUAACUUGAAAUAUUUAAUCGUGAUAUGCAAGGUAUUUAAGACUAACUUCCUGUCUUAGAAUAAAGUGGAUAUCAGUGGAUUUAGUUGUCAUCUUAAUAAUAGUCGUGAUAAUAGAUAGAUUUCAUUUUUCAUCUCUUUUCCCUCAACAUGCAUGUACCUGGAGCUGUCUCAUGUUAUAAGCAAGGAUGAUGGGAGGUACCCUAGUGGUAGAUAAGCUAAGCAGAUUCUAGGCCCAGCCAUACAUGAAGACAGUGUGGGAUUGCUGCAACAAUGCUUCUAUGUCAGGCUGUAUACUUCCUCGGAGGAAGAGAACCCCAGCCGCAACCCUAAGAGGCACAUCAUGAUUGCUCUAAGCCACUCACAGCACCUCCCUUCUCUUACCAGUGACUGGUAUAGGCGUAGACAUAUGAUGCAAUUGGACCAAAAACAGUUGAGAGAAAGUCUGCUGAAAGGCUUCUAGAAAAGGCCUUCUUUGCUGAUCAAGAAUCACAAAAGAAACAGUCCCUCUUCUGCUGGUUGUAGUUGUAUCUGGAUGGGAUGCAUGAACUGCUGUGGCCAUCUGGCAACCAGGAGCAGUGCUAGACUGCAGACAAGCCAGCUCCCUGAGGAUGAGGAGGCAGAAACAUGGGAAAAGCCUGACUGAGGACGUUACUGAGUCCCUGAAUUGGAACUGCCACAUCUCCUGUUAUCUCAGUAAUAAAUUUUCUUUACUCUUUAAGCCAGUUGAGUCAAGCUUUUCUGUAUUUGGAGCCAAGAAUGCCAUAAGCAAAUACACUGUUACUUACAGCAAAUACACUGUUUCCCAUUGCGGUGGGGAAGGGAAGCUGAGAUCACAGAAAAGGAAGUAGGACAUCCCCCAUUUAUUUUUUGGAUCUCAAGGAUAUAGAAUAGUAUUUAUUUUAGUGAUUAAAAAUAUGGAUAAAAUACUAAUCUUAAAUGCUGAUAAAAGAGGAAACUGGACAUGGGAUAAAUGGAUACUCUGUACUAUCUUCACAAUUUUUCUAUAAAUCUAAAACUAUUAGAAAAUAAAGUUCAUUUGAAAAUAGGGAUAAAAAUAACAGUAGAUAAAACAAAGAAAGUGAGCCUUUAAAAGUGAAAUUACUUUGAAUAGUGGUUCUUCACAGGUGAGCAACUUUUAUGGCAAAACCUCUUCACUUCUACAGUCAUUUCCAUGCAUCUUCCUACAGAAUGAAGGCACUUCCUGAAAAUGCGUAAAGGAACAGGAAUUACUGUGUCUAUUAUUGAUAGAUAACAGCCACACUAGAGGCGUGAAGUGACCUGCUGGAGGUCACACACUAACAAGGGACAAAGCCAAGAACAGACCUUGCCUCCCAUGAAGGCAGCUUUGCUUUUUCUUCUCUUCCUCUACUUGAAUGGCAAGACCCACUUCCAGAAACUUAUGGAAAAAGGAAAUUUUCAAUUUGGAGAAAACUAUUCAGACAAUCUGCACACAGAGUGAUAAUUCAAAUGCUAUGAGGUGAAGAAUAAAAUUUUUUUCUUUUAAUUUUAAAAAGAACAUAACUGGAAAAACAAUUCAUUGAGCAAAUUGCUAUCCCAAACACCCCAAAACACCUUGACUUUCACCAAACCUUAGCAACUUACAGGACAAUUCAAUAAGAAGAUGCCCUUUAUACUCCUCUAUUUCUUUAACAAAGCUAAUCAUAUUUAUUAGAAUAAAUUUAUAAACAAUGGGCAAAAUACAUAUGUCUCUUUCAACUAGUCUCUUCAAUAUAAAACAUUCUUGUUCUGCAAGCCGAAUUUCUCUACAUAACUUAUAAGUAAGGCAAAGUAUGAGCUGAACAUUAUCCAGUGGAAGUAUAUCUGAAUCACUGAUAGACUGUAUAAAAACCUUGCCUAGUGUCAUACUGGAAAACCAAAGCUCUGAAACGUACAUAAUAUUGUAAAUCAAUCAUAUAUCAAUUUAAAAAAAGAAAACCAAGGCUCCGUUAAGGAAAAAAAAAAAAAAAAGCAAAGGCUAUUAUAUCCAGCAGGAGGGUAUGAAGAAAAUUAAGUCUGUAAUAUUAAUAACUUCACUCAACAAAAAAAGUAGUAGAACAUACCAGAGACUGUAGAGCAUUCUCCCUGCUUUUCAAGGACAGACACCAGCAGCAAAACUGGUCUAUUCCCCACAAAGUACAUCAAUGGAAGAUUGAUCAGUGACAGCGAAAAGAGGUUUGCUAUUGACACAAGUCAUGGCUCAUGAUUAGGCCAGUGGAUUCAAGAGCAAGAGGCAUUCAUCCCAGAGGCUAUGUAGGAAAAGUAUAUCAGAACCUCUAUUUUCCAAUUGCAACGAAGAAAAACUUAAUUGUACUAAUACUUAAUAUUGUUUACUAAUUUUACCAAUAUUAUUCAAUAUUUUACAAUACAGAUAAACAAUAUGUAAGUAAAUAUACAGAGUUUAAGAGUGUGUGUACAAUUCUUUUCCCUGACAGCAGUAUGUGAUCAAUAACACCAAGGAUCUACAGGUACCGCCUAUGAGUGUCCACAGUCAUUGAAUACAAAUUACACACUGAUUUUGACAUGUCUCUCCAAAUAUAUUGAUCUGUUACGCUUAAGUACUUCUAAGGGGCAUACUUAAUUUUCAAAUGUUUGGUCUCAAUCUGGCAGUAACAAAUAGACUAGGCACAGUAGUCACAGAAAGCAUUCAAUAACUGAAGUAUGAUGUGCCCUUUUACAAAUGUCUAGGUUCUGCAUUUGGAAAAUUAACAUACCACACCAGAGAAGAGUAGAAAGAAGCAGCUAACUAACUCAAAUUGUUGAAUUCGCCACUUUUCAGUUCAGCCAGUCACACUGGGCAUUAUCCUAUCCGCAGGUCAGUAGUGGCACAUACUAUAUGGGGAAACAGAAAAGAAAGAAAUAAACCAAUAAAUGAACAUGUUAAUUUUCCAUAGUGAUAAGUGCUAUGGAGAAAAGAGAAUAGGGAGAUGUAACAAAGAGCAACAUGGUUGGGAGAGGGGGCAUUUUAGAUUAUAUGCCCAAGAAGUUGAUUCAGCAAAGACCUGGAUGAGAAGGGGCUGAGCAUUCCAUGCAAAGGGACAGCAUGGGUGAAGCCCUAAGACAGGGAAGCCUGUUCUGUUUGAAAAUGACAAAUAGGCCUGUGGCCAGAUAUAGUGAGCAGGGAAGGAGAGCAAAGUACAUGGACAGAGACAAGACUGUGUGGUGAGGUGUUCAGAUUUCACUGAGUGCAACGGGAAGCCACUGGAAGAUAUUAAGCAAAGAAGUGACAUGAUCUGAUUUACAUUUUUAAAAGAUUACUCUGGCUGUAUGAGGCAAAUAGAUUUUAGGGGAAAAGAGAGGAAACAAAGAUCAGGCAAGAAGCAGCAUUAUUCGCAAUAUUCAAAAGGCAGAAGCAACCCAAGUGUCCAUGAUGGAUGAAUGGACAAGCAGAAUGUGAUAUAUACAUACAAUGGAUUCUUAUUCAGCCUUACAAAGAGGGAAAUUCUCAUCUGCAUGAAUCUUAAGGACAUUAUGCUAAGUGAAAUAAGCCAGACACAAAAGGUGUUGUAUGAUUCCACUUAUCUGAGGUACCUAGAAUAGUCAAGUUCAUAGAAACAGAAAGUAGAAUGGUGGCUACCAGGGCCUGUAGAAAGGGGAAAUGGAAAGUUAUUAUUGAAUGGGUACAGAAGUUCAGUGUGGGAAGAUGAAAUAUUUCUGGAGAUAGAUGACGGUGACGGUUUCACAGCAGUGCGAAUGUACUUAAUGCCACUUAAAAGUGGUUGAAAUGGUGACUUUUAAGUAUAUUUACCACAAUAAAAAAAAUUAAGAGGUUACAGAAUUAUCCUUUCUCUAAGAGCUCCAUGAUGAACACCACCAAGAUAAAGGCUCUGAGAAGUCCUAUAAUAAAUAAA